rnacentral:lncRNA from 13 species
AGAUGCUCAAAAAAUUUUUGGGGGAGGACUCAAGAUGGCGCUGUGAGAACAACCCAGGAUUGGAGCUCGCAUUGAAUCCACAAACGUAAUUUGGAGAUGCAACAAGUAUAUUCAGAGGUAGCUGU